rnacentral:rRNA from 1 species
CCUACGGGCGGCAGCAGUGAGGAAUAUUGGUCAAUGGACGAGAGUCUGAACCAGCGACGUAGCGUGAAGGAUGACUGCCCUAUGGGUUGUAAACUUCUUUUAUAUGGGAAUAAAAUGUUCCACGUGUGGGCUUUUGUCUGUACCAUAUGAAUAAGGAUCGGCUAACUCCGUGCCAGCAGCCGCGGUAAUACGGAGGUUCCGAGCGUUAUCCGGAUUUAUUGGGUUUAAAGGGAGCGUGGGUGGAUUGUUAAGUCAGGUGUGAAAGUUUGGGGCUCAACCGUAAAAUUGCAGUUGAAACUGGCAGGCUGGAGUACAGUAGAGGUGGGCGGAAUUCGCGGUGUAGCGGUGAAAUGCUUAGAUAUCACGAAGAACCCCGAUUGCGAAGGCAGUUCACUGGACUGCAACUGACACUGAGGCUCGAAAGUGUGGGUAUCAAACAGGAUUAGAUACCCCGGUAGUC